rnacentral:rRNA from 1 species
GUGGGGAAUCUUGGACAAUGGGCGAAAGCCUGAUCCAGCCAUGCCGCGUGAGUGAAGAAGGCCUUAGGGUUGUAAAGCUCUUUCGGCGGGGACGAUAAUGACGGUACCCGCAGAAGAAGCCCCGGCUAACUCCGUGCCAGCAGCCGCGGUAAUACGGAGGGGGCUAGCGUUGUUCGGAAUUACUGGGCGUAAAGCGCACGUAGGCGGACUGUUAAGUCGGGGGUGAAAUCCUGGGGCUCAACCUCAGAAUUGCCCUCGAUACUGGCAGCCUUGAGUACGGGAGAGGUGAGUGGAAUUCCCAGUGUAGAGGUGAAAUUCGUAGAUAUUGGGAAGAACACCAGUGGCGAAGGCGGCUCACUGGCCCGUAACUGACGCUGAGGUGCGAAAGCGUGGGGAGCAAACAGGAUUAGAUACCCCUGUAGUCC